GACGAACGCUGGCGGCGUGCCUAAUACAUGCAAGUCGAGCGAAUCGAUGGGAGCUUGCUCCCUGAGAUUAGCGGCGGACGGGUGAGUAACACGUGGGUAGCCUGCCUGUAAGACUGGGAUAACAUCGGGAACCGGGGCUAAUACCGGAUACUUUCUUUUCUCGCAUGAGGGAAGAUGGAAAGAUGGUUUCGGCUAUCACUUACAGAUGGACCCGCGGCGCAUUAGCUAGUUGGGGAGGUAACGGCUCACCAAGGCAACGAUGCGUAGCCGACCUGAGAGGGUGAUCGGCCACACUGGGACUGAGACACGGCCCAGACUCCUACGGGAGGCAGCAGUAGGGAAUCUUCCGCAAUGGACGAAAGUCUGACGGAGCAACGCCGCGUGAGCGAAGAAGGCCUUCGGGUCGUAAAGCUCUGUUGUUAGGGAAGAACAAGUACGAGAGUAACUGCUCGUACCUUGACGGUACCUAACCAGAAAGCCACGGCUAACUACGUGCCAGCCGCCGCAGUAAGAC
rnacentral:rRNA from 1 species